rnacentral:rRNA from 1 species
UGCCAGCCGCCGCGGUAAUACGGAGGGAGCGAGCGUUAAUCGGAAUUACUGGGCGUAAAGCGCGCGUAGGCGGCUUUGUAAGUCGGAUGUGAAAGCCCAGGGCUCAACCCUGGAAUUGCAUUCGAUACUGCAUGGCUAGAGUAUGGUAGAGGGAAGUGGAAUUUCCGGUGUAGCGGUGAAAUGCGUAGAUAUCGGAAGGAACACCGGUGGCGAAGGCGGCACUCUGGACCGGUACUGACGCUGAGGCGCGAAAGCUAGGGGAGCAAACGGGAUUAGAUA